UACGAGAGGCCCAAACGUUAUUCGGAUUUACUGGGCUUAAAGAGUUCGUAGGCGGUCUAGCAAGUGAGGUGUGAAAUCCCCUGGCUCAACCAAGGAAUUGCGCUUCAAACUGCUAGGCUCGAGGGAGAUAGAGGUGAGCGGAACUGAUGGUGGAGCGGUGAAAUGCGUUGAUAUCAUCAGGAACACCAGAGGCGAAGGCGGCUCACUGGGUCUCUUCUGACGCUGAGGAACGAAAGCUAGGGGAGCAAACGGG
rnacentral:rRNA from 1 species